GCACACAGCCGCACGGACGGACACACACCCGCACGGACGGACACACAGCCGCACGGACGGACACACAGCCGCACACACAGCCGCACGGACGGACACACAGCCGCACGGACGGACACACACCCGCACGGACGGACACACAGCCGCACACACACCCGCACGGACGGACACACAGCCGCACACAGCCGCACGUAACAAGCACACACGCACAGGCAGCCCGCACCCUGGCUCCCGCUCCGCCACCCCGCGCCCGGGGGGAAGAUGAGCUCGGGGGACGUGGUUUGCACCGGAUGGCUUAUCAAAUCACCCCCCGAGAAGAAACUCAAGAGAUACGUUUUCUAUGAAUUGGCUGAAUGCAGAUCAAGCACAGAGCCAUGGUCCUCAGCAACAAGAGAGUGGGAAGAGAAAAGCAGGAGCUGGACGCUUUGCAACUGACUUUCUUCAGAGGAUCUGUUUUGCUGCUUGCUGGAGUCCUUAGGGCUCCAUUUGCAAAUCACCUAAGCACUUAUGGCUAGAUCCAGGAAAAAGCAUCUUUUCCCCUAAUAGCUUAGAGUUGCCAUUGACACCUCACAAUCACAUUGUGAUGCCACUCAGCAUACCAGGGCUAGAAGCUUCUUUUUUUUCCAGGCUGUUAAUUCAGAGCAAUAUAUUCCUGUGGGAAAUUCCAAUAAUUCAUGUUUAGUGAUACAGCAAAAAUCUGCUUCAGCUACCAGUUUGUGUGUAACACUGGUAAAAUGAUUGUCACUGACUUGUUUCAAGAAGCUCCAUUUCCAAUGUAAUCUGCAGGGAACCCACAUAGAUGUAUCAUGAUGCAUGAAUUCAAAUCACUAUAAUUAGGCUGAUAAACGGUCUUCUCAGAUAUACUUGGGGUGAGUGACAUCUUUUUCCUUUAACUGUUUCUGGAGCAAUAUAAACCAAACUGGGAACAAUAUCAGUGUUCCCAUGGCAUACUCAUGCCAUCAGAUACAUGGCAGGUCAGCUAUUCAAUAAAAAUGCAGACAGCAUUUGCCUUUGAUUCAAGCAGCAGCAACACAAGCAGUGGUAAUCCCUGCUGUCCCACACACUAUCCUGUCAGAUUCCUUUUGCUAUCUCCAAGCCUUAAGAGUAUAGUCCAGGUUUUGUGUGCCCUUUGCCCUUGUUGUAUUUACUCAAAUUGCUAACAAUGAAAUUCUUUAAUCCCUCCUGUUUUUAUUUUGGCCCCUUGGAGCCUGCACUAAGACUUCCCAAUUUAUUAAUCUCAUCCAAGGGUAGUGUUGAUCCAUCAUUGGGACAGUAAUUUUGUGAAUCUCCAGUGAAAAUUCUUUGAACCAGGUGGUGGACUAGGUUGCAUGGUUGAGGAUAUUUCACUAGAGGACCUGUAGAGACUGUUUAGCAAGGAGAACAUUCUGAUUUUCCAUAAUUGAAUUCUGUAUAUACAGAAGCCAACCAACAACAAAAAAUCCAGGUCUCUAUUCACUGCUCGCACAAUCAAACUCUCUGAAGUAUCUCUCAGCAUAAAAAGUAUGAGAUAAAAUGGAAAUUUUUAAGCUAGUAAAGGGAAAAAUUAAACGUCAUGAUCGUCUGUUUUAUUGUUAAGAAGCAGAAGGAUGUUAAAACCUAUGCCAUGCUGGCUCUUUGUUUUUUCAACAAAAAUAUUUUUGGGGCCAUUAUACAUGCUUACAGUAAAACAGUUAAGAAAAAGUGAAAUCCACCAUGAGUUUUGCAUUACUUUUUUGUUCAUAACAUGCUUUUGCAAUAAAGCAAUCAGAAUGCAAUAAUAAAAAAUGUUUCUUCCAUGCUUGAAUAUUGGUGGCUGUCUAGAAAAUUGUGUGUUCCUUAUAUUCUCUCAGGUCCAGUCCAGAGCUGCCUGACUUGUUCAGUGGCUUUCUUCAAAUAGGAAUGAUGAAAGCAGGC